rnacentral:rRNA from 1 species
UAUCAACGCUGGCGGCGUGCCUCAGACAUGCAAGUCGAACGAUUAAAGCUCUCUUCGGAGAGUGUAUAGAGUGGCGCACGGGCGAGUAACACGUAAGUAAUCUACCUUCGAGUGGGGAAUAACGUCCGGAAACGGACGCUAAUACCGCAUAAUGCAGCGGCAUCGCAAGAUGACAGUUGUUAAAGAUUUAUCGCUUGAAGAGGAGCUUGCGGCAGAUUAGCUAGUUGGUAAGGUAAUGGCUUACCAAGGCUACGAUCUGUAACCGGUCUAAGAGGACGGUCGGUCACACUGACACUGAAUAACGGGUCAGACUCCUACGGGAGGCAGCAGUCGGGAAUUUUGGGCAAUGGGCGAAAGCCUGACCCAGCAACGCCGCGUGAAGGAUGAAGUAUUUCGGUAUGUAAACUUCGAAAGAAUAGGAAGAAUAAAUGACGGUACUAUUUAUAAGGUCCGGCUAACUACGUGCCAGCAGCCGCGGUAA